AGCAGCCGCGGUAAUUCCAGCUCCAAUAGCGUAUAUUAAAGUUGUUGCAGUUAAAAAGCUCGUAGUUGAAUUUCGGGAUCAUCAGGUUGGUCGUGCCUCUGGUAUGUACUGAUUUCGAUGGUUCCUCCUUCUUGAAGAACCGUAAUGUCAUUAAUUUGGUGUUGCGGGGAAUCAGGACUGUUACUUUGAAAAAAUUAGAGUGUUUAAAGCAGGCAAUCGCUUGAAUACAUUAGCAUGGAAUAAUGAAAUAGGACGUUCGAUCCUAUUUUGUUGGUUUCUAGGAUUGACGUAAUGAUUAAUAGGGAUAGUUGGGGGCAUUAGUAUUCAAUUGUCAGAGGUGAAAUUCUUGGAUUUAUUGAAGACUAACUACUGCGAAAGCAUUUGCCAAGGAUGUUUUCAUUAAUCAAGAACGAAAGUUAGGGGAUCGAAGACGAUCAGAUACCGUCGUAGUCUUAACCAUAAACUAUGCCGACUAGGGAUCGGAUGAUGUUAAUUUUUUAAUGUA
rnacentral:rRNA from 1 species